rnacentral:rRNA from 1 species
AUGGCCGCAGUAUUUUGACUGUGCAAAGGUAGCAUAAUUAUUAGUUUUUUAAUUGAAAGCUUGUAUGAAGGGUUGGACGAGAUAAAAUCUGUCUUUAUUUAAAUUAAAGUAGAACUUAACUUUUAAGUCAAAAGGCUUAAAUGUUUAUAAAAGACGAGAAGACCCUAUAGAUCUUUAUUAAAUUCAGAUUUUGAUAAUUUAGGAUUAUUUUAAUUUAAAGUUUUAAUUUAAUUUUAUUGGGGUAAUAUAAAGAUUAAAUAAAUUCUUUUUAUUUAUAACAUUAAUUUAUGAAUAUAUGAUCCAUUAGUACUGAUUAUAAGAUUAAGUUACCUUAGGGAUAACAGCGUAAUUUUUUUGGAGAGCUCAUAUCGAUAAAAAAGUUUGCGACCUCGAUGUUGGAUUAAAAGUUAGCUUGGGUGCAGAAGCUCAAGAUUUUGGUCUGUUCGACCAUUAAACUUUUACAUGAUCUGAGUUCAGACCGGCGUAAGCCAGGUCGGUUUCUAUCUUUAUUUAAAUAAAAUAUUUUAGUACGAAAGGACCAAAUAUUUAAUAUAAUUAUAUUUAUUUUUUGAAUAAUAUU